rnacentral:rRNA from 1 species
GACGAACGCUGGCGGCGUGCCUAAUACAUGCAAGUCGAACGCUUCUUUCCUCCAGAUUUCUUGCCCUCAAUUGGAAAGAGGAGUGGCGGACGGGUGAGUAACACGUGGGUAACCUACCCAUCAAAGGGGGGAAACACUUGGAAACAGGGCAUAAAAACUCUAAACAGUUUUUGCCAGAUUGAAAAAUGGUAAAGGGCCCUUCAGGGUUUCUCUGGCGUUGGAUUCGCCGGUGCAUUAGCUAGUUGGUGAGGUAAGGGCUCACCAAGGCCACACUGCAUAGCCGACCUGAGAGGGUGAUCGGCCACACUGGGACUGAGACACGGCCCAGACUCCUACGGGAGGCAGCAGUAGGGAAUCUUCGGCAAUGGACGAAAGUCUGACCGAGCAACGCGGCGUGAGUGAAGAAGGUUUUCGGAUCGUAAAACUCUGUUGUUAGAGAAGAACAAGGACGUUAGUAACUGAACGUCCCCUGGCGGUAUCUAACCAGAAAGCCACGGCUAACUACGUG